rnacentral:rRNA from 1 species
AGCAGCCGCGGUAAUUCCAGCUCCAAUAGCGUAUAUUAAAGUUGCUGCAGUUAAAAAGCUCGUAGUUGAAUUUCGGGACCAAUAUGUCGGUCGUGCCUCGGUACGUACUGGCAUCGUUGGUUUCUCCUUUCUGAAGAACCAUGAUGUCAUUUAUUUGGUGUCGUGGGGAAUCAGGACUGUUACUUUGAAAAAUUAGAGUGUUUAAAGCAGGCUCACGCUUGAAUACAUUAGCAUGGAAUAAUGAAAUAGGACGUUUGAUUCUAUUUUGUUGGUUUCUAGGAUCGACGUAAUGAUUAAUAGGGAUAGUUGGGGGCAUUAGUAUUCAAUUGUCAGAGGUGAAAUUCUUGGAUUUAUUGAAGACUAACUACUGCGAAAGCAUUUGCCAAGGAUGUUUUCAUUAAUCAAAGAACGAAAGUUAGGGGAUCGAAGACGAUCAGAUACCGUCGUAGUCUUAACCAUAAACUAUGCC